CUUCUUUUCAGGCAGGGAAUGGACCCUGUAGAGACUCAAACACUGGUAUAACAUAGACCUGGGCUCUCAGCUUUAGAUGAUUAGAUUCAGAUGUUUCCAAGAAAAUUAUUUGCUCCAAAAGGACUCUUUGGUUACUAAAAGGUAUAGCAAUCAUAUUUAAAAUGUUUUUACUCACAGUCAGGUUCCUACAGCUUCAGUCACAUAGGAUUUACUUGAGGGUUUAUCCUUGGGCUGCUCUGUUGAGUGCGGAGAAUUCAGCCUGUGUCCGUGACAAACUGCAUCACCCUAAGACUCUGCCAGACCCUAGGACAAACUCUUCCUCUUCUCCACCUCUGAAGCCUGAUGACGUGCCUGGUCCUGGCUCUCUCUGCAGAACUCCUUGCUGGGUUUUGCAUACAUCCCUGCAGCUGCUUUUGCAAACCACAAGUUACAUUUCUCCACUGUCAACAAUUGCAAUCUUUCCCACGGAAGACUUUGCUCUGGGUUUGAACCUCAGCCACGGUGCUGUUGCCUGAGUGCCCACCUCUUGCCAGCUGUUGAGCUGCUCUCCAUCCCCCUGCCUCCCCAGAGUCAGGCAGGCAUGCUGCACCUCACCUGCUGCAAGCCGUUUUAUUUUUGUUGGCUUGGGAAAAGCUGUUGGUCUUGGUUUCUUUUUCAAUAUUUCACAUGAAAGAGAGGAAAUGAAGCUGCGUUGCAGAGCCUAACUUCUUCAGGUCAACAGCUACCAACACUGUGCCUUCCAGCACCUGGUGCUGGAGGGUGAUUUGGUAAAGUCCUCCCUCACCUGCCUCCCUGUAGGUCAUCCUCCUAGUUUCAGUGAGACUAUUCAAAACAUUUACAUCCCCCAGCUGUAAGUGGGGGUGGCAAAUGCAAAUUAAAUGAAAUAGAGAGAUCUUUUCUUUUUGAUAUGUCACCUGCAGACGUGAAUUUUUGCUGAUGUUGACAAUUACUCCAGACACAAUAUAUAGUUUCUUAACAUAUAUUCAUAAAAAAAAGAAACACGCACACACACACACACACACAAAGAAACAGCCAAACCAAAACAAAAAACUACCACCAAGAAAAAAAAAAAGUUCAGAUCUGAGGAAUAAACAAACGGCUUUCCAGAAACCUGAAAUUUCA
rnacentral:lncRNA from 1 species